GAAUGCUCAGGGGGGAUGAGGAUGCUUUGGGGGGCUGGGGAUGCACCGGGGCUGCAGAAUGCUGCCUGUGCUCCUCAGUUUGUGUCCUCAGAGUUGGAAGACGUGUCUGGGGAUGAUGAUGGCAGCUGGGAGGGGCACAGAGCAGCCUGACCACCCAGCCCUGCAGGCAGCAGGUGCUCCAGCAAUGGUGAGCCUGGACGGGUGGCGGCGAGGAGGAAAAAUUGGACGUUUGGCCUUGCUGCUCAUGAAACACAUUUCUUCAUAAUUUUGCAUCCCUUCUCACUAAAACUCAUCUGAAAAACCAAGUGUGUAAGAACUUUUAUCAGUCAAUCGAAGAGAAGGUGCCUGUUUCUCACUGUUCUCUCAGGAAAGUCGCAGAAAUGCUUAAAUUUGGGGAAAAUAUUUGGCUUCGGGCCAAAGGAAAGUUUUAGCUCCCCAUGCUUUAAGUUUUGCAUGUAGAAGUUUUCCCUGGAAUUCUUCACCGGUGGGGUGGAGGGAAUGAGAAUAAUUCCCCUUGAACUUCCUAAUCCUUCAGUCAGGAAAUCCGGGCUCCUUGGAUUAUCUGUUUUGGGUUGUAGAGGCAGAACAACAGGUAAACCAAACCCAAAGAGGGUACUUUCAAUAUCCAGCCAAACGCAUCCUCUUGAAUCUCAACUGAUACGAAAGGUCGGAAUAUAUCGUAUAGGAAAACCAAGAAGGUGUGAUGUCCUCUCAACAAGUUUUGCUUUAGACCAUCAGUGCACGAUGAUAAUGAAA